GGGUCGUUGUAGACUACGACGUUGAUAGGCUGCAGGUGUAAAGGUGGUGACAUCAAAGCCGAGCAGUACUAAUUGCCCGAAUUUUUCCUUGUG
rnacentral:rRNA from 1 species